rnacentral:rRNA from 1 species
CCUACGGGGGGCAGCAGUCGAGAAUCAUUCACAAUGGGGGAAACCCUGAUGGUGCGACGCCGCGUGGGGGAAUGAAGGUCUUCGGAUUGUAAACCCCUGUCAUGUGGGAGCAAAUUAAAAAGAUAGUACCACAAGAGGAAGAGACGGCUAACUCUGUGCCAGCAGCCGCGGUAAUACAGAGGUCUCAAGCGUUGUUCGGAAUCACUGGGCGUAAAGCGUGCGUAGGCUGUUUCGUAAGUCGUGUGUGAAAGGCCCGGGCUCAACCCGCGGACGGCACAUGAUACUGCGAGACUAGAGUAAUGGAGGGGGAACCGGAAUGCUCGGUGUAGCAGUGAAAUGCGUAGAUAUCGAGAGGAACACUCGUGGCGAAGGCGGGUUCCUGGACAUUAACUGACGCUGAGGCACGAAGGCCAGGGGAGCGAAAGGGAUUAGAUACCCGUGUAGUC